UCUCUCUCUCUCUCUCUCUCUCUCUCUCUCUCUCUGUGUGGUCUUAUUUCUAGAGGAUUUGUGGAUUUUGUUGGGAUCAUCUUGUCUGGGGCUCAUGCAUGUUGCUGAAUCUGUGUGUUUAUGUCUUGCCUAAUUUGGGAAGUCUUCAGCCAUGAAUUCUUCAAAUACAUUUUCAGGCCUCCCUCCCUUCUUCCCCUUCCUUCCAGGACUCCGAGGAUGACGGUGUGGUCUUUCACUACCGUCUACAACUCCCUGAGUGCUUCCUGAUGGAAACCUGGACAUCCUGGGCAUCAUGUUCUGACAUGUUGGAUCCUACGUAAGCUUCUGUUCUGGUGACUUCUGAUACUGCUCUGUGCGAAGGGGUGCCACCUCCCAGCUGCCAGGCAUACUUCUGAAGCUCUCCCGCUAGAGCCCAGGGAUUGGAACUUCAGCAUCUUGUCUCUGGACAGCGCUUCAAAUAACUUUGUGCCUCCUCUCUCUGCACCUCACUUACUCCUGCUGCAGCCCCCAAGGAACCCACUUAUCUGGUGGCUAAUCUGCCAAAUCCCUCCUAAUGGAUAGGAUCUUGGAUGUUGAGGCAUCCUGUCCCACCCACUGGUUUUGCCUUGUGGGCCAAGGAUCUGCAGUGGGUUGCUGCCAUCUGUAUGGGGUCUUCAAGAUGGUGUUUCAGGGCCUGUAAUUUCCCUAUCCUGCAUGAUCUAUGACUCAUAAGAAAUCAGCACAAGCUUAACUAUUCACUGGGUCAGCAUACCUGUGGCUCCAGAGCCCUUCCACCCACUUUCUCCAUGGAAGACUGGUGGGACUCUGAGGAGCUGGACUUCAGCACUUCGUCUCUGUGAACAGCACCCCAGGCCCUAUGCUGCAUUGCUUCUUCACAGACACAGGCAUCCACUUAGCCAUCCAUGAGCAGCCACAUGCACCAGCCACCAAGCCAGGUGUUGCUUCAUCCUGUGCAACCCCAAGGGUUGUACUUUCCAAUGCUCAAGAUAGGAAGCUGGGCUCCUAUGGUAAAAGCCAUUCUGCAGGAAGAUGGUGGCACCUCUAAAACUCCAUCAAGAAUGACCCUCUGUGUUAUGGGGGUUUGAGGAGAAGUUGGGGUGGGGGCUCGGGAGCAUAAAGCCUAGAGCGGAUGUGUAGGCAAAGCACAGAGAUGAACAGAGCCCAGAAACAGAGGCACUCUCAAAUGACAGAAGAUGAAGAUUUGCUUGAAAUCUUGGUGCUGUACUAAAAGGGAUAAGGAAUCCUGGGAACCUCUCAAGGACAGUGCAUAGAUAAAAAGGAAGGUGUGAGGGCCCCUUUGCAAUUCCAGCUCGGUGCUGAUUACAACUAUCCUCUUCCGUCUUUCAGAAUUUGAGUCUGGUUUUUUGGUCCAACUAUAUGGUAGUUUGGGAGCUGCCAAUCUUAACUUGGCCCCACCCACUGCCUACAGCUGAUUGGCACAGAAACAGCUACCCAACUCAACCUGGGCCAAUCAUAGUGCUUCCCUGGAAUUUCCAGUUACUAAAAAUGAAACUCUGGACCCUGGUUUGAACUUCAGUGUGAGCUUUAGUCCUUAUUUACUUUCAGGUCAUGAGAGAGGGAGGUUCAACUCAGAGAGGGCAGUGUAUUUCCAAGGGCCAUGCUUAUGAGGCCCCACUACUGGUUGGGGACUACAUAUUCUUCCUUGGAGGUCUCCCUUGUCACCCAGUUCCAGGUACUACACUGUUGAGCUCUAUUGUACUGUUGUGUGGUGGACACUUGUCCCUUCCUGAUACUUCCUGUGGUUUUCUUAUUGUUCCCUUGUACACUUGCUGGGAUAGCACCUGGCCCUGAGUAUACCCUUAGUGCUUAUGGUCUAAGCAGAGGAAUGCUAGCUUUGCUAGGGGAUGGUUGAAUAGCUGUCCUUGGGUCCUGUGAGCCAAUAAAUUCUCU